AACGAACGUUAGCGGCGCGCCUAACACAUGCAAGUCGCACGAGAAAGGGCUUCGGCCCCGGUACAGUGGCGCACGGGUGAGUAACACGUAGAUCAUCUCCCCUCGAGUGGUGGAUAACCUUCCGAAAGGAAAGCUAAUACAGCAUGAGACCACGGCUUCGUUGAAGCUGCGGCCAAAGCAGGCCUCUACAUGUAAGCUUGCGCUUGAGGAUGAGUCUGCGGCCCAUCAGCUAGUUGGUAGGGUAAUGGCCUACCAAGGCUAAGACGGGUAGCUGGUCUGAGAGGAUGAACAGCCACACUGGAACUGAGACACGGUCCAGACUCCUACGGGAGGCAGCAGUAAGGAAUAUUGCGCAAUGGGCGAAAGCCUGACGCAGCGACGCCGCGUGGGGGAUGAAGGUCUUCGGAUUGUAAACCCCUUUCGGGAGGGAAGAUGGGAUGGGGUAACCCAUUCGGACGUACCUCCAG
rnacentral:rRNA from 1 species